CGGUUGCCUCUUACUCCCUUUAGAAUCUUUCUUCCUCUUUGGAAUGAAAUGAUCCUGCAUCUUCUGGAUUAUGCCCAGAAAUUCCUGCCAUUAUGUUCCACCCUCAUUCCUGCUGGGAUCCUUUUCCAGUCUACCUUGGCCAGUUCCUCUCUCAUGCCUUCAUCGUCCCCUUUGUUCAACUGAACAAAUGCCACGUCCUAUUUAAUGUUCU